ACUGGUCUUUAAUAAUUUCAGGUGCAUCUCAUAGAAAGCUUCUUUUGCAAGCUGAAGAAGAAAUUGAGACUCAUCUGACUGAUGCUGGGAGGAGAAUAAUGAAGGUCCAUAAUUUGGCAAGGGAACAGAUGCUUCAGUUGAAAAAUGCAGUAGUUGACUGUUUGAAUGAAGGUAACCUUGGUUGACAUGAUUGCAAUUUAUGUUGGAGGAUGCAACGUCCAUGAUCAGGAAGAAUUUCUUGUCUGCUCAGAAUUUGUUUACGUCUUCCUGCCUGUGUAUAGCUUUAGAUUUUCAUCAGCAUUUUUACUACUUCCGUUCCAGAAGUAUUGUGACAAGUAUAUCUCGAUUGGAGCGAUUGUUGUUGAAAGUGCAGAUAUGAGUUUGCAAUUUAGAGGUUAAUUCCACUCAAGUUGGGGGUAAGCUUCUCAAGGUUUUGUUCGCCGACGCCCUAGAUCUUCCUUCUUGAGGUCACCAAUGUAUCCUCGCUUUUGCAUUUUUCACCUGAAGAUACAAUAAUGCUUCCAUACUGAGUAUCCUGUCUUCUGCCUAGUUCAUCACAACAGAUGUAUUUUUUGGUAUGAACAGGUUCUGAAUGCAGUA